rnacentral:rRNA from 1 species
UAGGGAAUCUUCGGCAAUGGACGAAAGUCUGACCGAGCAACGCCGCGUGAGUGAAGAAGGUUUUCGGAUCGUAAAACUCUGUUGGUAGAGAAGAACGUUGGUGAGAGUGGAAAGCUCAUCAAGUGACGGUAACUACCCAGAAAGGGACGGCUAACUACGNGCAG